ACACGUUUACGAUCCAAGCCUCGCCCUCCGUGUUAUAAAGCAAGCAGGUCUCCAGCAAACAGCCCUCCUCCUUAUUUGGUCCACCCGUUGGAGCGUUGUUCCUUUGUUGAACAAGGACAAAAAGGGAACCUGCCACAAUUGGGAAGAAGAGCCAUCCUUGAAGCUGCAGAAGUGGGAAUUCAGUUCUGACCACUGGUAGCAAAGACAGGUGUGUUGAACUCGCCCAUCCCCCACUGAAGCAGACAUUGUCACUGCCCCACCCUGGGGUCGCCUGGGGCUUUGGCAGACAAUUCCUGUGCACACUGGCUUUCUCUCUCAGGCACCCGGGUCUGGAUGCCUGAGGGCUUUUUCUGCCACAGUAUUGUGCCGGCCCACCAACAAGACCAACCCCCCAGGACAGCCCUCCAGAGAUGAGGGACAGGAGCUAGUAGACAAAUCCACCAGCCCCCCAACUCCUGGUGGGUCAACUGGAAGUGUGUCCUACACAACCUCUCAGGGGGGCCCCUGCAGGACUGAGGCCCAGUGGCCCUCAGAGGUAACUGCUCAUUAACUUACCCUUUUUGGCUUUUUCUCUCUUCCCUGUCUCACUUCCCCACUUCCUCACUCUGCUUCCUGGGAUCACUUUCCAAAUACACUAUUUGCCGCAAAUCCUUUGCCUCAGGGUCUACUUUUGGGGGAGCCCAACUAAGACAUCUAUCAAAAUUUUAGAUAAGUAAAGACUCUAAAGGGAUUCUAUUACUACUUUUCAGCAGAAAUGUAUGGGUCAUCCUUAGAAAGACCCAAAGAAAUCAAAAUGGUGAGAGUUGUACCAAAUACUGGCUCUGUUCUCACAUAGUGUCACCUGAAUGUACCACGCCUCCCUAAUUAUAUUGCAAACACACUGUGACUGAGACCAUGGGGGCAGGGAGCUGAACUCGGUGCUAAAGCUAACAAAUAAAAAUGGCAAGCAAUAGGAUAUAUUGGAGUAUAUGAGGAAGCCAUUUGGUAUAAACCUAAUUCGGCCUGACCUUGUCUUUCCAAAAGGGCAUUGUAUAUCUGCUUUAGAGAUUCCCUAUGGCAAGAGCAAAGGCCCUUGAGAUAAAGGUGCAACUUCUCUCCCCCUCCCAGCGUUGGCAACUCCUUAAGGAUUAAGUAUCUUUCCUUAGGCUAGAAGCUGAUUGCUGCACUCACCUGUGACCGCCCAGCUCAAGACAAUAGGCUUGCCUCCUGCUAUGCCCACCAAGAUAGCAGACCCACUACCUGCUGUGUCCAUCAAGUGCUGUGCCGACAGGGCAAUCUUGUGACUAUUGUGGGAGGGACAUUUCAAUCGUAUGUGAAACACCCUCUUUGAGGGUAUAUAACCACCCUGUGUACCCCCACUUCUUUGGAGUGGCCUGUUCCUUUGUGGAAAGACUCUCCCGGGUUAUAAUCCUAAAAUUUAAGCUCAGAAUAAACUCAGCCAAAUUUUCCUUUAUAGAUUGGUUAUGGAUUAUUUUCGUCGACAGUUCUUGGCGUAGUCGCCGCAGGAUUUCAGAGAAACCCACCGGAGGCCAUCUGGAAUCUACACUGAACCGGUAUUCGGUACCAAUAAGGGCCCAUUGAGCCCCCCGGAUCACUGUAUUCUUCAGGUGACCUUGGAGACUAACCGUAAAUUGACAGAGACUGUAUCUGAAUUGAAAAAAAGGAUAAGAAGUCAGAAACCGUCCCAGCCCGCUUAUCCCUUCCAUCUCCUCUGCAGCUGCCUUUGGAAUCCGAGUUCAUCUCCUUCUUCUUUUCUAAAGAGCUCUAUUCCAUUGACUUAAAGUAAGCACUUACAAAAAGUUUUUCUGAAUAGAACUAACCGAAAUGUCUUCAUCUCUCUUAGAGUUACAAUGGCCAUUUUCGUCUCCUUUUGAGCUUUGCAACUGGGAAACAAAGAAUCUUUAAAGAGUCAAAGGCUCGACCCCUGGGAGCCCCAACUUUGGGUUUCUGGGCCUGAUCACCCCAGCAACCCUAAGUGGGGUGCCCUCUCUUGACAGUUGACUCAUUGAGUAUUUUAGUCACCUACUGAGUCAGUUAUAAGGGUAGGAGACCUGUGAUUUAUUCUGUGAACUGUCCUGCUGGGGUUGUGUGCCCAGCAUGGGAACUGUUGUGUGACUCUUAUCUUGAUAACCCUCUGGAAGAGGCCAUGAGGGCAAGGUCUGAUCUCUUCUUUUCUUUUCUUUGUCUGUUUUGCUCAUCAUCUCUUCUGUUGUCACCAAGUCGAGGUUAAGUUCAGGCUGGACCUGACCAGAACCUGGACCUUCUGUAAAAUCAAAAACCUGAGGAGUUUCUCUGUGCCUUUAUGAUGCAGUUGGACAGGUAGCUCAACCUAGAAAAUUGCUAACAGAAGAUUAAGAUCAAGAACCGGUUAUACAGGACUGAAUGAACUGAGAAAGAUUAUAAUUUUUUUUAUGACUUUUGUUUGAAAUAUUGUUUUUGACGUGUUGUUUUGUUUUCUCAGAUUUAAGAAAAUCUUUCUCUUAUGCUAACUAUGACUUACAGCAAUUAGUGAAAUUAUACCUUUAUGAGCAAAACUGAAACAUUUAUCUUUUUCUCCCUACCUGAUCCCUCCAGGAUUUGGAAACUCUUUGUGAGUGAGUAUGGUUAUUUCAUGGCAAUAUAGUUAUUUGCAUAAGUUCAAUAAGAAUCUGUUCUCCUUAUAACAGUACAUUUGUUAUCUUACCAAAACUUUGACUGUAAUGUCAUAUUUGAGAGAAACAUACAGACUCAGGUAUGACAAUACUGCCUUUGAGGAAUAAGGUUGACUUUCUGGAAAUAAAGCCACUUGGAAAUAUAGGCCUGGUACCUUGCUUUAUAGAGAGAGAUUUGACAAAUAAAAAUGGCAAGCAAUAGGAUAUAUUGGAGAAUAUGAGGAAGCCAUUUGGUAUAAACCUAAUUCAGCCUGACCUUGUCUUCCAAAAGGGCCUGACUGUGGCCGUUGAGCAUGCAUUGUAUAUCUGCUUUAGAUUUUCCCUAUGGCAAGAACAAAGGCCCUUGAGGUAAAGGUGCAACUUUCCUGCCCCUCCCAACGUUGGCGUCUCCUUAAGGAUUAAGUAUCUUUCCUUAGGCUAGAAACUGAUUGCUGCACUCACCUGUGACCGCCCAGCUCAAGACAAUAGGCUUGCCUCCUGCUACACCCAUCAAGACAGCAGACGCACUACCUGCUGUGUCCAUCAAGUGCUGUGCCGACAGGGCAAUCUUGUGACUAUUGUGGGAGGGACAUUUCAAUCAUAUGUGAAACACCCUGUUUGGGGGUAUAUAACCACUCUGUGCACCCCACUUCUUCGGUGCCUUUUCUUCCUUUGGGAAGAAAGGCCCCGGGCCAUGGUCCUCAGAUUUCAGCUUAGAAUAAACUCACCCAAAUUUUCAUUUACAGAUUGGUUACAGAUUAUUUUCGUGGACAGAUUCCAGCAAUCUUACCUGAGCUCCCAGAACUUAAGGAUCAUGGACUAUAACCUGAAGAAUUUAUUUAUUGAAAGAGACGUCAAAUAAGACUCUAUACAGCCCAGUUGGAAAGGACCAUACCAGAAGGAAAAGAAGACGACAUCUGUUGUAGACAGCUGUCCCAAGACUCCGGACCAGGCCUGUAUUCCCAACCUUAUAUCUCCUCAUUUAAGCAUUUGUUAUGCUUAAACUGUAAACCUUUGUUAUAAUUUGUUUGGAAUACUGUCAUACUUAAAGAAAGGGAUUAAUUUGGAACAGACUGAUCUUGAAGGCCAGGAAUUUAUCAAGUGACUCCUAAUGGAACUCAGUGGUUAUGUGGAACAAAUCUUUGGCCUUGGCUACUGCCUGGAUGGCUAAAACACUGCACCCUGAGUUUCCUUUAAAGGCAGGGAAGGAGUCAGGCUGAGUUACAACUUCUUGCCAACCUCCCUCUCUUUAAGGCCAGAUGGGCUUGUUCAGUGCUCCACUGGUAUGGCUAUAUUUGCAACUAUAUGUGCUUCUUCUUUGGGGCUAAAAGAUGUCAUUAUUACAUAUGGAAGAUCUGACUAAAUUUACUCAAGAAGCUCUUAAUGAUAGUCAAGCAGGAAUAGCCUUAUUAAAUACUGAAAUGUCUUUAAUGUGAAGGGCUGUCCUUCAAAACAGAAUGGCUUUAGAUAUUCUUACUGCAUCCCAAGGUGGUACAUAUACAAUCAUUCAGACUGGAUGCUGUGCUUUUAUACGUGAUGAAUCUUCCAAUGUGUCAUCUCUGCUAAAAUACAUGAAGAAGCAAGUGGAUGCCUUAUGCGAUCUGACACCCAGUCUUGAAUUAUUUGGUUAGCGCCCUUUCAGUACCUGUUCCCUUUUUCAAUCCGGAUUGGAAUUCCUAUUUCUAUUACUUAUUGGAAUCCUUGUACUGGUCAUAAUAUUCAAACUAAUUGUUGUUUUAUUUACUCAGUGUUGUAAGAGUAACAUACAAACUAGAGUAAUGAUUGCUCAAUGGCUUGAGACUGUUGAUCUGUCUUAUAACCCUGGACAAAUUUCCUUUUCUGAUAGGGACUAUGACUAGGAAUUCAUUUCAGACUAAUCCUUUUAAAAAUGCUGAGUUAUUAUUGUUACUGUACUUGUUCUAGAAUCAUAUACAAUGUAAAUGUGAAGUGUCAUAGAAAAGCACAUAUACAAUGUUUGCACAACAAUCUAAAAUUAAUUAGAAAUUACAUGACAUAUGAAAUGCUUCCUCUGUUAAUAUAUAUAUAACGCUAUGCUUGUCCACUAUUUCCCCCAAACAUGGACGACUAGGCAAAUAAAUGAAAUAUAAGCCUAGCACCGAGGGACAUGAUGGACCCAGGGCAGGCAGCAACCACCCUGGCACCGAGGGACAAUAUUUUGAUCAUCAAUGUUUUCUAUCAAAAGAUUAGAGAUCAAAAGGGAAAAAUGACAAAUAAAAAUGGCAAGCAAUAGGAUAUAUUGGAGUAUAUGAGGAAGCCAUUUGGUAUAAACCUAAUUCGGCCUGACCUUGUCUUUCUAAAAGGGCCUGACCGAGGCCGUUGAGCAUGCAUUGUAUAUCUGCUUUAGAGAUUCCCUAUGGCAAGAGCAAAGGCCCUUGAGAUAAAGGUGCAACUUCUCUCCCCCUCCCAGCGUUGGCAUCUCCUUAACGAUUAAGUAUCUUUCCUUAGGCUAGAAGCUGAUUGCUGCACUCACCUGUGACCGCCCAGCUCAAGACAAUAGACUUGCCUCCUGCUAUGCCCACCAAGAUAGCAGACCCACUACCUGCUGUGUCCAUCAAGCGCUGUGCUGACAGGGCAAUCUUGUGACUAUUGUGGGAGGGACAUUUCAGUCAUAUGUGAAACACCCUCUUUGAGGGUACAUAACCACCCUGUGUACCCCCACUUCUUUGGAGUGGUCUGUUCCUUUGUGGAAAGACUCUCCUGGGUUAUAAUCCUAAGAUUUAAGCUCAGAAUAAACUCAGCCAAAUUUUCCUUUAUAGAUUGGUUAUGGAUUACUUUCGUCGACAAAGCUUUAUACACAUUAACUGAUUUAAUUCUCACAACAACCCCAUGAGGUGAACACUAUUAUUGUCCUCAUUUUACAGAAGAGGAAACUGGGAGGUUAAAGUACUUUGGCCCAAGUCACACAGCUGGAACAGGCAGAGUCAGGAUUCUAGCCCAGGCAGCCAGGUUCCAGAUUCUCAGAGGGUAGCCUCUGACACAGCCCUGAGCGUGUGAGGAUGUUUGAUAAAUGCUUCCUUGAUUCGGGAGUUACUACAUGCAGAGAAAGGAAAGAAGAUGGUCUGCGUAAUAUCUUCAAAUGUCUGAAGGCUUUGAGCUGUGAACCCCUUUGGAGGUUUGGUGAAGUCCAUGGAGUCUUUCCAGAAUAAUAUUUCUUUUUAAUAGUAUUUCUUUUUAAUAUUUUUAAGUGCAUAAAAGAAAACACUGGAUUACAAAGGAAACCAAUGAUAUUGAAAUCCAUUUAUCAAAAUACUACUAGAAAUUGUGAUACAGCAAUAUAUACAUUCACCCUAUGAGGGGGAUUAUGCACUGGAAUGGGCUUCACAAAUGUGCUAAAUCUUGGUCACGAGACUGUGACAGGAACGGGCUGAGCAGCCCAAAUGGAUGGUUUCAGGAUAGA
rnacentral:lncRNA from 1 species